rnacentral:rRNA from 1 species
GAUGAACGCUGGCGGCGUGCCUAAUACAUGCAAGUCGAGCGAACAGACGAGGAGCUUGCUCCUCUGACGUUAGCGGCGGACGGGUGAGUAACACGUGGAUAACCUACCUAUAAGACUGGGAUAACUUCGGGAAACCGGAGCUAAUACCGGAUAAUAUAUUGAACCGCAUGGUUCAAUAGUGAAAGACGGUUUUGCUGUCACUUAUAGAUGGAUCCGCGCCGCAUUAGCUAGUUGGUAAGGUAACGGCUUACCAAGGCAACGAUGCGUAGCCGACCGGAGAGGGGGACGGCCCACAUGGGAACGGACACAGGGACAAGCCCCCGACGGGGGGCACGAGGCGGAAACUUCCCGGAAGGGGGGAAACCCGGAGGGAGCACCGCGGCGGGGGGAAUGAGGGUCUUGGGAGCAUAAAACUCUUUUAUGGGGGAAAAAAAAAUGGAAAAGAAAAACUGCUCGUUUGGAGGGCACCAAAUAAGAAAGCCCGGCAAAACACGGGC